UGGGGAAUAUUGGACAAUGGGCGAAAGCCUGAUCCAGCAACGCCGCGUGAGGGAUGACGGCCUUCGGGUUGUAAACCUCUUUCAGUACCGACGAAGCGAAAGUGACGGUAGGUACAGAAGAAGGACCGGCCAACUACGUGCCAGCAGCCGCGGUAAUACGUAGGGUCCGAGCGUUGUCCGGAAUUAUUGGGCGUAAAGGGCUCGUAGGCGGUUUGUCGCGUCGGGAGUGAAAACACGGGGCUUAACCCCGUGCCUGCUUCCGAUACGGGCAGACUAGAGGUAUGCAGGGGAGAACGGAAUUCCUGGUGUAGCGGUGAAAUGCGCAGAUAUCAGGAGGAACACCGGUGGCGAAGGCGGUUCUCUGGGCAUUACCUGACGCUGAGGAGCGAAAGUGUGGGGAGCGAACA
rnacentral:rRNA from 1 species